AUUAGAUUGUAUUCAUCAGUUUAUAUAGAGACUCUGGAAGUCCUACUGAAGGCUAUUUUAUGUGGAGGGGGUUGAUAUUUGUGGGGGGGUACGUAAAGGCUUAAUGGUUGAAAUAGGUGUAUGUAUUCUGUAUAUUGGCAGGACUUUUGGACCCCCCCCCUAACCCUCCCCCCCACCCCCCCUUGACCCUGAAAGUGACAAUUUAGAGGGCAGUUUUCAUUCCUACUUUUUUCACUUUUCAUUUGUGACUCUCUUCUCAUAGUUUUUUUUCUCUCUGCGUGUAGACAUUUGACUUGUUGCCAAGACUCCCUGAAAAGCAGAGGAGAUGUGUUACUGAAAGAUGGUUGAACAGUUGGUGACUGGAUGAGGAAGAAGAUGCUCUGAUCUGGUAUCCAUGUUGAUGAUGCAGUAUGAUUUCCUAUAUGUCUACUGAAUUCUGUGUAGAGAGAGAGAGAGAGGGAGGAGUAAGGGACCGUUUAAAAUCAUGUCAGCUCACGCCCAUAUUCACAUUUCGAAGGAAAGUGACAUUUGUUGUCUCUCACUAUUAAGCAAGUAAUAACUGAAUAAUGUACUUGUCUUGCACUAUAAUACUAUAAUACAAGUCUUAUCCAAAUACUAGAAUCGUCUCCAUUUGACCAAGCUUGAAGCUGUGGGCUAGGGUGUAGGGGCUAGAGUGUAGAGGCAUUAUGUUAGAUGUGUGUACUGUGUAGUGUACACAGGGUGGACCCAUUCUGUAUUUGGUUUCGUUAUGGACUGAGGGAGGGUUGGUGUAUCCUGCUAAGAGGCAUUCAUGACACACACACACACACACACACACAGAUUAAAGUACCCUAGAGGACUAAUCCCUAUACAUCCUGGGUGGAUACAAUGGUGCCAAUUAAAGUAAUACGACACACACACACACUUUGCGUGUCAGUGUGUGGAUGGUGACAGAAGUGUGUGUUGUCACAUGCGGCAGAGAGUGAGAACCCAGACGGAGUGUGCUCACACACGCUUGGCUGACUCAUUCAUCCAUCUCUCUGGUGUGUGUGUGAUGCUGCAUCUCUCUCACACACACACACACACACACACACACACCGGUGCACCCAGACUGAUCCAGCCGCAGCACACUGCCAGCCUAUAAACAUCACUGUAAAGCUCUGUUGAACACACCUUGUGAGAAACUACAGAGAGGAGAUGGACCUUGACAAGCCAUGAAUAACGACCAACUGUCAUUCUAGCUACAGCUCAUCAGUGAUUGGAUGAAAGAUGACUGUGACAGUUCCCAUCUAUCACAGUACCAGUAGGGAGCCAAUGACACCACCGCCAGUAUCCCAUCAUACAGUAGAAUCAUGGCGUGUCAAAGAGGAAGGACCCGUUGCCCCUAAACGCUGAUCUAUGGUCAUGUUUGCCUUUUCCCGCUAGUUGUCAAGGU
rnacentral:lncRNA from 13 species